AUUGAACGCUGGCGGCAUGCCUCACACAUGCAAGUCGAACGGCAGCGGACCUUCGGGUGCCGGCGAGUGGCGAACGGGUGAGUAAUAUAUCGGAACGUACCUUUCAGUGGGGGAUAACGUAGCGAAAGUUACGCUAAUACCGCAUAUUCUGUGAGCAGGAAAGCAGGGGAUCGCAAGACCUUGCGCUGAUUGAGCGGCCGAUAUCAGAUUAGCUAGUUGGUGAGGUAAAGGCUCACCAAGGCGAUGAUCUGUAGCGGGUCUGAGAGGAUGAUCCGCCACACUGGAACUGAGACACGGUCCAGACUCCUACGGGAGGCAGCAGUGGGGAAUUUUGGACAAUGGGCGCAAGCCUGAUCCAGCCAUGCCGCGUGAGUGAAGAAGGCCUCGG
rnacentral:rRNA from 1 species